AAUAAGCCGAAUAUUACGAACCACAGUUUAAAAUUCAAAGAUUUUGGCGGUGUCUUAUAAAACCAGGGGAACCUGUCCCAUAACUCGACAGUCCACGACUACCUAACCUUUUUUUUGAAAAAUCAACUUGUAUACUGCCGCUGUAAGCAAACCUCUAAAAGAAAGUAUGCUAAUAUGAUUAAUGAAAUUAACUCAUUUACAUCAGGUCAAAGUGCAGUCAAUAAUAAGGUGCUGAUGGGUUACAACCUAAAAAAAGAAAUGAAUUAAAAAAUGAAAAAAUUUUAUAAAAGUGGACUUGGUUGUAAUUUUAAAAUAUGAAAAAUUAAUGAAAACAAAACCUAAGACAUGUACACAUCGCCCG
rnacentral:rRNA from 1 species